rnacentral:tRNA from 1 species
GACUCUGUGGCCUAAUGGAUAAGGCAUCUGACUUUAAAUCAGAGGCUUGAGGAUUCAAGUCUGUUCGCAGUUG